rnacentral:rRNA from 2 species
AGUCGAACGAGUUCUGAUUAUUGAAAGGUGCUUGCAUCUUGAUUUAAUUUUGAACGAGUGGCGGACGGGUGAGUAACACGUGGGUAACCUGCCCUUAAGUGGGGGAUAACAUUUGGAAACAGAUGCUAAUACCGCAUAAAUCCAAGAACCGCAUGGUUCUUGGCUGAAAGAUGGCGUAAGCUAUCGCUUUUGGAUGGACCCGCGGCGUAUUAGCUAGUUGGUGAGGUAACGGCUCACCAAGGCAAUGAUACGUAGCCGAACUGAGAGGUUGAUCGGCCACAUUGGGACUGAGACACGGCCCAAACUCCUACGGGAGGCAGCAGUAGGGAAUCUUCCACAAUGGACGCAAGUCUGAUGGAGCAACGCCGCGUGAGUGAAGAAGGCUUUCGGGUCGUAAAACUCUGUUGUUGGAGAAGAAUGGUCGGCAGAGUAACUGUUGUCGGCGUGACGGUAUCCAACCAGAAAGCCACGGCUAACUACGUGCCAGCAGCCGCGGUAAUACGUAGGUGGCAAGCGUUAUCCGGAUUUAUUGGGCGUAAAGCGAGCGCAGGCGGUUUUUUAAGUCUGAUGUGAAAGCCCUCGGCUUAACCGAGGAAGUGCAUCGGAAACUGGGAAACUUGAGUGCAGAAGAGGACAGUGGAACUCCAUGUGUAGCGGUGAAAUGCGUAGAUAUAUGGAAGAACACCAGUGGCGAAGGCGGCUGUCUGGUCUGUAACUGACGCUGAGGCUCGAAAGCAUGGGUAGCGAACAGGAUUAGAUACCCUGGUAGUCCAUGCCGUAAACGAUGAAUGCUAGGUGUUGGAGGGUUUCCGCCCUUCAGUGCCGCAGCUAACGCAUUAAGCA